rnacentral:tRNA from 1 species
GGAGCUCAGUGGCAGAGUGUGUGCUUAGCAUGCACAAGGUCCUGGGUUCCAUCCCCAGUCCU